CAAAUCAAAGAGAAACUCAACAAAAGCAGUGUUGCAGGCAACCCUGGGGCACCUACACUUGGAGAUUUCUGUAGGGACCUGGCAACCAUGGAAUGCUCCUACAAAGCUGCAAAGCCUUUCUGUGAGGAGCUGUUUUGACAAGAACCAAGAGCUAGAAGUUUCCCCCGCGAGUGUCAGAUAGGCCCUUUUGUAAGAUAUAAGCAACAGAAACGUUUAUAGGACCAGCUCUGCAAUAUCAAAAUGCCUGAGAAGACUAACUACUUGACUGGAAAACGAUUUGAGACAAGUUUUCUUUUUAAAAAAGUUCUUAGAAAUCUACAAGAUGACAGAGUGCACACAGAACAGGAAGAACAUCAGUGACUUCAGUCUCUGGCCUUCUAACCAAGAAAGGACUUGUGAAGGUGAAUGGUUUGCAGACGAAGGGGAUAUAAAAGAGACAAAACCAG